CCCGCACAUUGACUCUGUACCGGUACCCCCCUGUAUAUAGCCCCUGUAUAUAGUCUCUAUAUUGUUAUUUUACUGCUGCUCUUUAAUGACUUGUUCCUCUUAUUUCUUAUUCUUAUUCAUAUUUUAUUUAAACUGCAUUGUUGUUUAGGGGCUUGUAAGUAAGCAUUUCACUGUAAGGUCUAAACCUGUUGUAUUCAGCAUUUCACUGUAAGGUCUAAACCUGUUGUAUUCAGCAUUUCACUGUGAGGUCUAAACCUGUUGUAUUCGGCAUUUCACUGUAAGGUCUAAACCUGUUGUAUUCAGCAUUUCACUGUAAGGUCUAACACCUGUUGUAUUCAUCAUUUCACUGUGAGGUCUAAACCUGUUGUAUUCAGCAUUUCACUGUGAGGUCUAAACCUGUUGUAUUCAUCAUUUCACUGUAAGGUCUACUACACCUGUUGUAUUCAGCAUUUCACUGUAAGGUCUAAACCUGUUGUAUUCGGAAUUUCACUGUAAGGUCUAAACCUGUUGUAUUCGGCGCAGGUGACUGAUAAAAUUUGAUUGGAUUUGGUUCGAUUCCAGGCUGUAUCACAACCGGACGUGAUUGGGAGUCCCAUAGGACGGCGUACAAUUGGUCCAGCGUCGUCUGGGUUUGGGUUUGACCGGGGGUAGGCCGUUAUUGAAAAUAAGAAUUUGUUCUUAUUAACUGACUUGCCUAGUUGAAUAAAGGUUAAUGUAAAAAAAAAAAAAAC
rnacentral:lncRNA from 1 species